CUGGACAAAGACUGACGCUCAGGUGCGAAAGCGUGGGGGAGCAAACAGGAUUAGAUACCCUGGUAGUCCACGCCGUAAACGAUGUCGAUUUGGAGGUUGUGCCCUUGAGGCGUGGCUUCCGGAGCUAACGCGUUAAAUCGACCGCCUGGGGAGUACGGCCGCAAGGUUAAAACUCAAAUGAAUUGACGGGGGCCCGCACAAGCGGUGGAGCAUGUGGUUUAAUUCGAUGCAACGCGAAGAACCUUACCUGGUCUUGACAUCCACAGAACUUUCCAGAGAUGGAUUGGUGCCUUCGGGAACUGUGAGACAGGUGCUGCAUGGCUGUCGUCAGCUCGUGUUGUGAAAUGUUGGGUUAAGUCCCGCAACGAGCGCAACCCUUAUCCUUUGUUGCCAGCGGUUAGGCCGGGAACUCAAAGGAGACUGCCAGUGAUAAACUGGAGGAAGGUGGGGAUGACGUCAAGUCAUCAUGGCCCUUACGACCAGGGCUACACACGUGCUACAAUGGCAUAUACAAAGAGAAGCGACCUCGCGAGAGCAAGCGGACCUCAUAAAGUAUGUCGUAGUCCGGAUUGGAGUCUGCAACUCGACUCCAUGAAGUCGGAAUCGCUAGUAAUCGUAGAUCAGAAUGCUACGGUGAAUACGUUCCCGGGCCUUGUACACACCGCCCGUCACACCAUGGGAGUGGGUUGCAAAAGAAGUAGGUAGCUUAACCUUCGGGAGGGCGCUU
rnacentral:rRNA from 1 species